rnacentral:rRNA from 1 species
GUGCCAGCAGCCGCGGUAAUACGUAGGUGGCAAGCGUUGUCCGGAAUUAUUGGGCGUAAAGGGCUCGCAGGCGGUUCCUUAAGUCUGAUGCGAAAGCCCCCGGCUCAACCGGGGAGGGUCAUUGGAAACUGGGGAACUUGAGUGCAGAAGAGGAGAGUGGAAUUCCACGUGUAGCGGUGAAACGCGUAGAGAUGUGGAGGAACACCAGUGGCGAAGGCGACUCUCUGGUCUGUAACUGACGCUGAGGAGCGAAAGCGUGGGGAGCGAACAGGAUUAGAAAC